UACGUUUGCUUCUUUAACCAAAUUAUGCUAAGAUUAUUUUUUUGCAUUCCAGAGUCCAUUCUGGACUUUGAUAUUUUCUGAGGAAAGGCUUUCUGUAGUGAGAAAAUUAAAUUCCUUUCUUGGUGUGUAUUACUGGCAGAGCACUGUUUUCUGAAGGCAGCAGAGGUGGUGGCACACCAUCCCUGAGCAGCAGCAGGACCUGCUAUCCCAGAGUUCAUGGAUGAGUUGAAUUGCUUUCCGAAGAAGAUUUCUAUCCACUGUUUGCAAUGAGACUUGAUGAGUAUUCAGAUGGAGAAUCCCACUCUUGGAAGAUGAAUAUUCAUGAGAGUAUUGCAGCCAGGGAAGGAACAUUUCCUUGUUUGCCCUGGUAAAUGGUUCUGCAACCCCACGUCAUGUGUCCUGUGCUCCAGCCAAGGAGGGCUGGCUGUGACAGCUUCAUGGCUCAUCAGCACCGCUGCUCAGAAUGAGAGUGAGCCAUGACGAGCCUGGAGGUCCAGCAGUGUCCAGGUAACUUCUGUACUCACUGGCAGUGAGGAACCAGCACAGCCUCUGCCUGCAGCAUUUGAGAUGGCUGGAGGAGAAGAAGAAAUGCAUGGUCCCUGUUGUGUAAAGGUUGACCUGUUUCCAGAAGCUCCCCGUACUUCAGGACAUACCUUGACGUGCCAGUUUGUACACAUCUUUAGCCCCACCAGUGUUGUGCUUCAGCAGGAGCCUUGGCCAAGCUGGUGUUCCCAUGGCUGCUGCCAGCUCAGAGGUGUUCCCUGUGGCACUGCACGUGUGCCUGCUCUGUUUGCUCAGGUGGGAAAGAUGUUGAUCAGGGACAGAGAAAAAACCUUUUAAAACAAGUUGAAUGUGGGGACCAGCGGUCAUCAUUUCUCUGUUUAGAGGCUGAGAGCUCUUGCUGUUUAUGGUCACUGUGCUGGUGUUUGGCACUUUGUCCUCUUUCGUCUGACAGUAGCAAGAACUGAUGCUCUUUAUUUUACUCAGAAUCAUGUUUUUGGGUUUCCGAUUUCUUAAAUCCUGUCGUGGCUUUUAGUCUAGAAGGGAGCAGAAGUAUGUUUUUGAGAACUCAAAGCUGCUUUAAAUCAUAGCAAUAAUAAUGCCCAGGCAAAGAAUCAUUACGGUUAGCUAACUGUAGUAACAGCAGGUCUUGGCUUUUUGUUUUUUAGCACUUUUAAAAGUAGCAGUCAAUCCAGAAUAAAGUCACCGUUGAUUACUCUGAUUUACAUCCAUUUAGCAGAGCAGAAUCUGACCCUUGUAAUACAUUCCUGGGUUUUAAGAGCAGGAGAACUCUCAGCAACGAACCCAGUUCUACGGAAACAAAGCCACGAUCUUCUAGAUGUUAAUGCAGCAGUCCUCAAGAGAUGUUUACAGUGAGAUGUGUUGCAAGGUCACUUUGCAUUUUACCAUGCAGUGAUAUUGUGAGUUCUGACAAUUCCCUGUAAAGAAACUCCAGAGCACGUGGUAUCUAAAAGCAGCCUCUGGCGUAGCCACUACUACCAGUUCUCCUGAAAAAAUGGGAGCUGGACUUUGCACAAGUGUUUAUUGUAAAGU